GACGAACGCUGGCGGCGUGCUUAACACAUGCAAGUCGAACGGAAAGGCCCGGCGUUUGUUGGGUGCUCGAUUGGCGAACGGGUGAGUAACACGUGAGUAACCUGCCCUUGACUUUGGGAGAACUUCAGGAAACUGGGGCGAAUACCGGGUAGAAGCUCCUGCUGCAUGUGGUGGGUUGGAAAAUGUCGGCGUUGGUGGAUGGACUCGCUGCUUAUCAGCUGGUUGGGCGGGUAGGGGUGGACCAAGGCUUUGACGGGUAGCCCGCAUGAGAGCGUGAACGGCCACCUUGGGACUGCGAUACGGAGCAGUAUCCUACGGGCGGCAGUAGUGGGGAACAUUGCACAACGGGGCGACGUCUGAUGCAGAAACGUCCGGUGCGGGAUGCCGGCUUUCGGGUUGUGAACAGAUUUCGAAUGUACUGUAGCGUGCGUGACGGUAAUGGGUCAAGAAGCCCCGGCUAACUACGUG
rnacentral:rRNA from 1 species